AAACCAUGCAUCGGGCAUUUUCUAAUUAACUCCUUGAAUUGCUCCUAUGCUUCAUAUAAUGUUUCAUCCUUAGAUUGCCGAAAGGACAUAAUAUCGUUCCUCAGUUU
rnacentral:snoRNA from 1 species